GAGAUUCCGAAAGUAGCGGCGAGCGAAAUCGGAUUAGCCCUUAAGCUUUAGUGUAGUUAGUGGAACAUUCUGGAAAGUUUGACGAUACAGGGUGACAGUCCCGUACACAAAAACUUAUCUAAAGUGAAAUCGAGUAGGUCGGAGCACGUGAAACUUUGACUGAAUAUAGGUGGACCAUCAUCUAAGGCUAAAUACUCCCAACUGACCGAUAGUGAACCAGUACCGUGAGGGAAAGGUGAAAAGCACCCCGGGAGGGGAGUGAAAUAGAACCUGAAACCUUGUACGUACAAGCAGUGGGAGCCCUUCGGGGUGACUGCGUACCUUUUGUAUAAUGGGUCAGCGACUUAUUUUCAGUAGCAAGCUUAACCGAGUAGGGGAGGCGUAGGGAAACCGAGUCUUAAGAGGGCGUCAAGUUGCUGGAAUUAGACCCGAAACCGGG
rnacentral:rRNA from 1 species